rnacentral:rRNA from 1 species
UGGGGAAUCUUGCGCAAUGGGCGAAUGCCUGACGCAGCGACGCCGCGUGUGGGAUGAAGGCCUUCGGGUUGUAAACCACUGUCGGGAGGGACGAAGGCCCGGCGGCGAAUAGCCGACCGGGAUUGACGGUACCUCCAAAGGAAGCACCGGCUAACUCCGUGCCAGCAGCCGCGGUAAUACGGAGGGUGCGAGCGUUGUCCGGAAUCACUGGGCGUAAAGGGCGCGUAGGCGGCUGGGUAAGUCACGUGUGAAAUUCCGGGGCUCAACUCCGGAACGGCAGGUGGGACUGCCCGGCUGGAGCACGGUAGAGGCGAGUGGAAUUCCAGGUGUAGCGGUGGAAUGCGUAGAUAUCUGGAAGAACACCAGUGGCGAAGGCGGCUCGCUGGGCCGUUGCUGACGCUGAGGCGCGAAAGCGUGGGGAGCAAACAGG